rnacentral:misc_RNA from 1 species
UACAGAGGUCUCAAGCGUUGUUCGGAUUCAUUGGGCGUAAAGGGUGCGCAGGCUGUGUGGUAAGUCAGGUGUGAAAUUUAGAGGCUCAACCUCUAAACUGCACUUGAUACUGCCAUGCUAGAGGACUGUAGAGGAGAUUGGAAUUCACGGUGUAGCAGUGAAAUGCGUAGAUAUCGUGAGGAAGACCGGUGGCGAAGGCGAAUCUCUGGGCAGUUCCUGACGCUCAUGCACGAAGGCUAGGGGAGCAUACGGG